UACGUAGGGUGCAAGCGUUGUUCGGAAUUACUGGGCGUAAAGCGCGCGUAGGCGGCUUAGCAAGUUAGAGGUGAAAGCCCGGAGCUUAACUCCGGAAUUGCCUUUAAAACUGCAAAGCUAGAAUCAUGGAGAGGUGAGUGGAAUUCCGAGUGUAGAGGUGAAAUUCGUAGAUAUUCGGAAGAACACCAGUGGCGAAGGCGACUCACUGGACAUGUAUUGACGCUGAGGUGCGAAAGCGUGGGGAGCAAACAGG
rnacentral:rRNA from 1 species